AUCUUCAAGUGAGAGGAAAAGGCAAAAAUUGUCUGGAUCAGAGAAUUCAGGCGCAUUCAUCUUCAUUAAUGAGUUAACUAUUUUACAAUUUAUAGUUAAACAUUGGCUUUCACUGUCAGCUACAUUUGGGAACUACAUGAAAUCAGAUAUUGAUCCAUCACAGAGAUUUUUAAGAAGCCAAUGCAAAUUGGGAAGAAUCCUAGCGAUUAUCAACUCCAACAUCUGACAUUUUCAGGCUGUGACUACUAAAAGCAAUCAGGUGGAGCCUGGAGUUACUCAGAGAAUUACCCUUAUUACCUACACAUCUCUCAUCCACGGGGCGAGGACGGGAGGAGCUGGGACAGGGCCCAGGUUUCCAUUACCCGCUUCAGCUUGGUUAGCACUUGUUUGAUACUAAAUGCUCUGAACUCGUUCCUGAUGAACAAUGGUGCACAGUACAAACCAAACUAAUUGGCAGAGAAAAAACUACCUCAGUGACACGGAAAAGAGUGAGCAGAAGAUUCCGUCCCAGAAUCCCAUCACUCCAUCUGCA